CGGCAGUGUUCCCGAUCCCAGAUAGAGAACCCUGGCCGCCACCGCCGGCGGCGCGCGGACGGCGUCGCGAGGCGAGUCCAACGCAAGCAUCGGCGGCCGGCGGCGACGCGUGGGGUAACGUGCGGGCACUCGGGAUACACAGAUAAUUUUAUGUGUCAGUGUACCCCGACGGGCAAACAAAGCAAUGAAGAACACUCCAUCGAAAAGAGGAACAAUGGUUUCAGUAUGGAGCUUCAACUUCUGCCCCGUGAUGUUCUUUGCGAGAUACUAUCACGGUUAUCGAUCAAAGAAGUCUUGAGGAUGUGCACAUUACAAUCGAUCCUGCAUCAUCAGUUCCUUGCACUAGCUAAUAGCUACAUUCUUUGAUAUGAUAUCCCUCUACACAGUUCAGACUUGAGAGAAGCAAUAAAAUCAGAGAGACACUCUUGCUAAAACUACACCUAGCGAUUUCAACCAAGUUCUAACUGACCGCCCAAAUCUUCUUUCGUCGAUAUUGCUAGUUAACCUAGAGAACCAUGUGCCCCGCUUCGAAGCAGCCGUUAGAGACUUGCUAGUUCACAAAUUUGCUCAAAAUGACUUGAAAAUUUGAACGGUUGGCUUAGAAGCGAAACAUAUGCAGGAUCUCGCUUGCAUCCCUACUUGUUACACCCCCGCCAUCUGCUGCUGAGAAUUCGUCAUCGCCGGAGCCUGUAUUCUUCUUCAGAGCCUGUGAACCAAGUUCAAAGCUGCUUUGGCUAGUUACCUUUGUAUCUCUGACGCAUGCAUACAUGUCGAUCAGAUACAGGAGUAGGGGAGCUUGGCCAGUAGCAGCUUCUAUCGUGCUUGGGCCUGUAAAUUCGGCAGCUCAGAUGGGCUAGUUGCAGGGACAGAUAAGGCCCAACACCACAACCUAGUUUUGUCCUACUCCUGUGUCUCGUCUCGUGAAGUCGUGAUCGACAGAGCAGAUUCGUCCGUCAAAAAACAAUUAUGUUCCAUGUUAUUGGCAGCAUAAUUUGAAAUGCUCGACCAUCGAUCCUCUGUGGAUUUAAUUAGUAGUACAUGCUUACUCCUUCCGUCCCAUAAAAGAUGUCUCAAGUUUGUCAAAAUUUGAAUGUAUCUAGAUAUGACUCAGUGUAUAGGUGCAUUUAAAUUUAUUAAAAAUUGAGACAUCUGAGAAAGUA